CCUACGGGGGGCAGCAGUGGGGAAUAUUGGACAAUGGGCGAAAGCCUGAUCCAGCCAUGCCGCGUGUGUGAAGAAGGCCUUCGGGUUGUAAAGCACUUUCAGUGGGGAAGAAAGCCUUGGGGCUAAUACCCUCGAGGAAGGACAUCACCCACAGAAGAAGCACCGGCUAACUCCGUGCCAGCUGCCGCGGUAAUACGGAGGGUGCGAGCGUUAAUCGGAAUUACUGGGCGUAAAGCGCGCGUAGGCGGUCUGAUAAGCCGGUUGUGAAAGCCCCGGGCUCAACCUGGGAACGGCAUCCGGAACUGUCAGGCUAGAGUGCAGGAGAGGAAGGUAGAAUUCCCGGUGUAGCGGUGAAAUGCGUAGAGAUCGGGAGGAAUACCAGUGGCGAAGGCGGCCUUCUGGACUGACACUGACGCUGAGGUGCGAAAGCGUGGGUAGCAAACAGGAUUAGAUACCCGAGUAGUC
rnacentral:rRNA from 1 species